GAUGAACGCUAGCGGCAGGCCUAACACAUGCAAGUCGAGGGGUAACGGGAAAAGCUUGCUUUUCGCCGACGACCGGCGCACGGGUGCGUAACGCGUAUACAAUCUACCCUUUGCUGUGGGAUAGCCCAGGGAAACUUGGAUUAAUACCGCAUAGUAUAUAGUAGUGGCAUCACUACUAUAUUAAAGGUUACGGCAAAAGAUGAGUAUGCGUUCUAUUAGCUAGAUGGUGUGGUAACGGCACACCAUGGCAACGAUAGAUAGGGGCCCUGAGAGGGGGAUCCCCCACACUGGUACUGAGACACGGACCAGACUCCUACGGGAGGCAGCAGUGAGGAAUAUUGGGCAAUGGAGGCAACUCUGACCCAGCCAUGCCGCGUGCAGGAAGACUGCCCUAUGGGUUGUAAACUGCUUUUAUACAGGAAGAAACAUCUCGACGUGUCGGGACUUGACGGUACUGUAAGAAUAAGGAUCGGCUAACUCCGUGCCAGCAGCCG
rnacentral:rRNA from 1 species